ACUCCUACGGGAGGCAGCAGUAGGGAAUCUUCCACAAUGGACGAAAGUCUGAUGGAGCAACGCCGCGUGAGUGAAGAAGGGUUUCGGCUCGUAAAACUCUGUUGUUAAAAGAAGAACAUAUCUGAGAGUAACUGUUCAGGUAUUGACGGUAUUUAACCAGAAAGCCACGGCUAACUACGUGCCAGCAGCCGCGGUAAUACGUAGGUGGCAAGCGUUGUCCGGAUUUAUUGGGGCGUAAAGCGAGCGCAGGCGGUUUUUAAAGUCUGAUGUGAAAGCCUUCGGCUCAACCGAAGAAGUGCAUCGGAAACUGGGAAACUUGAGUGCAGAAGAGGACAGUGGAACUCCAUGUGUAGCGGUGAAAUGCGUAGAUAUAUGGAAGAACACCAGUGGCGAAGGCGGCUGUCUGGUCUGUAACUGACGCUGAGGCUCGAAAGUAUGGGUAGCAAACAGGAUUAGAUACCCUGGUAGGAUAGCG
rnacentral:rRNA from 1 species